rnacentral:rRNA from 1 species
GACGAACCGUGCGAACGUUGUUCGGAUUCACUGGGCUUAAAGGGCGCGUAGGCGGACUCGCAAGUCUGUGGUGAAAGCCCCCAGCUCAACUGGGGGAAGUGCCGUGGAUACUGCAAGUCUGGAGGAGGGUAGGGGCAUCUGGAACGCUGGGUGGAGCGGUGAAUGCGUUGAUAUCCAGCGGAACUCCGGUGGCGAAGGCGAGGUGCUGGACCCUUUCUGACGCUGAGGCGCGAAAGCCAGGGGAGCAAAGCGGG